UCGCCGGCCGCUUUCCCGCCGGCGCGCCGGGAGCGGGGGCUGGGGGCCGGGCGGCAGCGGGGUCCCUCGCCCCAGCGCGGGGCGGGGCGGGACGGGACGGGACGGGACGCUCCGCCCGGCGUCGUGUCACCCGGAGCACCUCGCGCCGGCUCUGUUGGCUUUGCAGCUCCGCGGCAAUCCCGCGCCGUCGCCUUCCUCGGCGCUGCAGAGCGGGUCCCUUCGGGCACGGAGCGCACGCAGCGGGAUCUCGCACCAGGAAGUCUCCGGCGUGCUCUGGGAGUUGAUUGGUUUGCUUUGCUUCUGUUUGGUUUUAAACGAUCCGAGUUUGCCUUCGUCGUUACCUGUGCUUCCCUCCAGACGCAGCCAGACCCGACCUUUCAGCCUGCGGGGCACAGGCGUAGCUGAUGCUGAAUGGUCUCCCAAAAUACACAGAGACCCCUCUGUGACAUUCCUUCCAGCCCAGUGCCAUCUAGUACAGCAUUUAAAUCUCCACAUGGGAACGAGAUGGUGUUUUCAAGGAGCAUCCCUGUAGGCCAAAUGACAGAUGGCUCCAAAUGAACAGUAACAGGAAAGUUUGAUGAUGAUGAAAAUAGGUGUCAUGAUGUUCAUAGCGCCAGCGUGAAGUGCCCAGUGGAUCACCAAAGCUGUGUGGAUCAGUAAGAUCGGCGCCCCCAAACUGGUUCUCGCCUAGGAACGAGGCAGAGCACUUAUAUCCCAGCCUAACGCUAUUUCUUUCAUCCCUGUUAAAGCCAAUAAGACUAUUCUAUGAGGAUUUAUCGUAAGGUGAUUUGAAGGCGCCAUUAAGAAGAUCAGCCCUGUCCGCCUGCCAGGCUGUUUCCUGUCAAGAAAGUUAUGCCCCCUUAUUCUGUCGUUUGAGGCACUUCUGAAAAUGGAGACUAAACAUUUGGAAACCCACAAGAGCUCUUUGCUCUGAAUCAAGAGGCCCGUCUUUCCCAGCGGCACGGGGAGAAGUUCCAGAUUUCAUGUGGACAACUUUGGAGUAGGCUUUAGGGGCAAGAAAGUUGUGAACUGCUUUGGAGAGUAUGGUGUAGGCCUGGUCUCAAGUGGCAUCACUUAGGGGACAGAAUUUGGGAUUUUCUUAACAGGUGUAGAUGCUCCAAACUCUUACCCUGAACUCUGCUAAAUAAACACAAGCAACCUGAGGCUGUAUCUUUCCAGGUUAAAGUCUUCACCCAUCACCAUCCUCUCUGUGGAGCCUUCCUAGCCUACAGGUCUGUUUCCAGUGACCCUGCUUUUGGACUACAGUACCAGCAGACAGAACAAAGGUCCAUAAAAUUAUUUUUCAGGAGAAGAAAAACAACAACAACAAAACCUGUUUCCAGAUCAAGGA